rnacentral:rRNA from 1 species
UACAGAGGUCUCAAGCGUUGUUCGGAUUCAUUGGGCGUAAAGGGUGCGUAGGCGGUUUGUCGCGUCGGGAGUGAAAUCCACUGGCUUAACUGGUGGCUUGCUUUCGAUACGGGCAGACUGGAGGUAUGCAGGGGAGAACGGAAUUCCUGGUGUAGCGGUGAAAUGCGCAGAUAUCAGGAGGAACACCGAUGGCGAAGGCAGGUCUCUGGGCCGUAACUGACGCUGAGGAGCGAAAGCAUGGGGAGCGAACAGG